CGCCGCGGCCAUGUCGUUUCAACUCUCUCUAAACUACUACUUUGCAUGAUAAGCAGGGGUGUUUUUCCGAAUUUCAAACGUUUUCGAUAAUAUGCUGAGUUACACUCAAUGAUAUAAAUGAACGAAGUUUGAUAGAAAUCGAUAAAGUGGUUACCGAGAUACACCCCUUGUAGUGAUAGAGUGGGCGAUGCUACGCCCAAUUCCUAAAAGUCUGUAGCAGUCUUAUUUAUUGUUAAGAGACUGUUGUAAGUAUUAACUUGGAGUAAAUUAAGAGUCCUCAGUUCUUGAAAUAUCAGUUUCCGCAUUUCUGAAAUUUACAGUUAGAUAUACGGGAAGCGGGUAUAAUUUUGGUCCGAUUUGAAUAAUUUUCAAAGAAUUUCUUUUCUGUAUCAAUGUUAUUAAGCGCACCGAGUGUAGUAGAAAUUGAUAAAUCGGUUACCGAGUUACACAUUUGUGGUGAUAAGUGGGCGGCGCCACGCCCAUUAUCCAAAUUUA